rnacentral:rRNA from 1 species
AGAACGAACGCUGGCGGCAGGCUUAACACAUGCAAGUCGAACGCUCGUAGCGAUACGAGAGUGGCAGACGGGUGAGUAACACGUGGGAACGUUCCCCUCGGUUCGGAAUAACUCAGUGAAACUUGAGCUAAUACCGGAUACGUCCGCGAGGAGAAAGAUUCAUCGCCGAGGGAUCGGCCCGCGUCUGAUUAGCUAGUUGGUGAGGUAACGGCUCACCAAGGCGACGAUCAGUAGCUGGUCUGAGAGGAUGACCAGCCACACUGGGACUGAGACACGGCCCAGACUCCUACGGGAGGCAGCAGUGGGGAAUAUUGGACAAUGGGGGAAACCCUGAUCCAGCCAUGCCGCGUGUGUGAUGAAGGCCUUCGGGGUUGUAAAGCACUUUCGCACGUGACGAUGAUGACGGUAACGUGAGAAGAACGCCCGGCUAACUCGUGCCAGCAGCC